CCACUUGAAGGACUUUUAUAAUUGAGAGUCUCCUCCUGCUGGCCAGUCCAGUCCCACUGCCACCAUCUUCUUUCUAUCAACCUCCUGAGAAAAAAAUAAAAGAAAAUAAAAUAAAAAGAAGAAAAAAAAACUUUAAUUUCUUCUUCCCAUGACUUCCAUUCAGUAGCUAUAGCUGUAUCCUGUAUAUACUUUUAUAUACUUGUUCACCCCCAUUUCAUUCUUUUUCCUCCUCUAUCAGAUUUUGGAUAACUAACAGACUGAAAUUUUCUUUGUUGCCAAUCACGUUCUCAAAAUUGGAGUCAUGGAAAAGCUAGCUAAGCCCUGCUGUCUAUGUGUAUUCUUCUGCUGCGUGUUUAACAACUUCUGGGUAUAAAGCAUGUAUGUUCAAAAAGGUCUGGUUACCCUAUACGUACGGACAACUUCAAUGGCCUCAGGCUGAUGAUGGUGUCUAUUGAGCAAAAGCGCUCAAAUCUUUUAGACUCAAGGGCCAAUCUUCUUUCAUUUUUUGGUCUUGCAUCAAGUAAAAGAAUGCUGGUGUGCCAAGUUUGCAUGAAAAAGGAAACUGCUCUGCACUAAAAUCUCUUAGUUACUAUAAAUUGAGUUCAGAUUUAAGCAUAAUGGGAACAUUUUCAUAUUCAAAUAGCCAACUGUGAACUCUCUUUCAUUUGCUAUAGGCCUCGUUUAUCAAUCGGAAGAGUUUCUAGCAUUGCCCUCAGCUAACUGCAGGUACGGAACUAACAAUUCAGAACCCCAUUUUUUAGUUCAUAAACAUUCUUAAUUUCUCUUUGCUCAUUAAUCAAUAUGUCAACUUCAUAGAUUGAUUUUUAGUAUAAACAUGUUAUGAAGCUUACUGUUUUACUCCAAUUCAAUUGGUCCUUAUAAGCAAACCUUGUAUUUAAGUUGUAAAUUUUCCUUGCUGCUUUGAGUGCUUUCUCAAAUUUAACAUUUGGAAAAGAGAUCACGGAAAAAGUGAAAUCCAUUUUUAUGUAUUUGGAAGAAAACAAAAUCCCUCAAUUCCAUGAGGAUAUGAGGCCAAGGUUACAAUAAUCUUGGGAGACACAAGGGAGAGAGUUAGAUUCUAUAGACAAUUGAAACACGGGGUAAAAGGCACUACACUAGUGAAGCUCUUUCAAAUGCUUUUUUUCGUUUUUUCUUUUAUUUUUUUUUAUUUUUUUAUUUUUUUUGGUUUUGCCCCAACAUCCAAUA